rnacentral:rRNA from 1 species
CCUACGGGAGGCAGCUGUGAGGAAUAUUGGUCAAUGGGCGCGAGCCUGAACCAGCCAAGUCGCGUGAGGGAAGACGGUCCUAUGGAUUGUAAACCUCUUUUGUCGGGGAGCAAAAGACGCCACGCGUGGCGUUCCGAGAGUACCCGAAGAAAAAGCAUCGGCUAACUCCGUGCCAGCAGCCGCGGUAAUACGGAGGAUGCGGGCGUUAUCCGGAUGUAUUGGGUUUAAGGGGUGCGCAGGCGGAAGAUCAAGUCAGCGGUAAAAUUGAGAGGCUCAACCUCUUCGAGCCGUUGAAACUGGUUUUCUUGAGUGAGCGAGAAGUAUGCGGAAUGCGUGGUGUAGCGGUGAAAUGCAUAGAUAUCACGCAGAACUCCGAUUGCGAAGGCAGCAGACCGGCGCUCAACUGACGCUCAUGCACGAAAGUGUGGGUAUCGAACAGGAUUAGAUACCCGGGUAGUC